GAUCUAUACCCAAGAGAUAGGUCUCCCAAGCAAAUACAGGCUGCCAGGAGAGGGAAAUGGUGACCACCUAAGGGCUGCCAUGCCUGGCUCUCAUCCCCACCCUCACCCCACCAACUGCCUUAGUGGCCAGUGACAUCAGGAGGAACCCUUCCAUGCUGAUGGUGCUUGUGCCCACCUAUGCCAGUUCAUUGAGCAUUCUUAGAGAGGCAUGACUCUUCUACAUAAGCGAAUUUUCCAAAUUAUUAAAUUUGAU
rnacentral:lncRNA from 1 species